GGGACGGGGCAAGAAGGCAGUGGCACAGACAGGGAGCUGAAGGUGGCUGAUUCCCCUGCCUGCCACUGCCACCUUGCCCUGGGCCC